GCGGGAAGUACGCGCCGUACGUGACGUCAGCUCGCCGCGCUUCUUCCUGGGCGGGAGAGAAGGCCAAACUUACGUCUAAGAAAAUAGAUUAUCCUUGUUGUCUUCUGGGAGAUAAGGAGGCGACUGAAGGAGGUGCUGUGCUAAAAUGAGAGACUCAAUCAGAAAAUGAAAGACAUGGUACCAGAAAAUAUAAAUUUCUAUG